rnacentral:rRNA from 2 species
UGCGUACCUUUUGUAUAAUGGGUCAGCGACUUAUAUUCUGUAGCAAGGUUAACCGUAUAGGGGAGCCGAAGGGAAACCGAGUCUUAACUGGGCGUUAAGUUGCAGGGUAUAGACCCGAAACCCGGUGAUCUAGCCAUGGGCAGGUUGAAGGUUGGGUAACACUAACUGGAGGACCGAACCGACUAAUGUUGAAAAAUUAGCGGAUGACUUGUGGCUGGGGGUGAAAGGCCAAUCAAACCGGGAGAUAGCUGGUUCUCCCCGAAAGCUAUUUAGGUAGCGCCUCGUGAACUCAUCUUCGGGGGUAGAGCACUGUUUCGGCUAGGGGGUCAUCCCGACUUACCAACCCGAUGCAAACUGCGAAUACCGAAGAAUGUUAUCACGGGAGACACACGGCGGGUGCUAACGUCCGUCGUGAAGAGGGAAACAACCCAGACCGCCAGCUAAGGUCCCAAAGUCACAGUUAAGUGGGAAACGAUGUGGGAAGGCUCAGACAGCCAGGAUGUUGGCUUAGAAGCAGCCAUCAUUUAAAGAAAGCGUAAUAGCUCACUGGUCGAGUCGGCCUGCGCGGAAGAUGUAACGGGGCUAAACUGUGCACCGAAGCUGCGGCAGCGACGCUUAUGCGUUGUUGGGUAGGGGAGCGUUCUGUAAGCCUGCGAAGGUGUCCUGUGAGGGAUGCUGGAGGUAUCAGAAGUGCGAAUGCUGACAUAAGUAACGAUAA